AUAUCCUACGGGACGCAGCAGUGGGGAAUAUUGCGCAAUGGGCGAAAGCCUGACGCAGCGACGCCGCGUGAGGGAUGAAGGUCUUCGGAUCGUAAACCUCUGUCAGCAGGGAAAAACGGUCACUGUGCUAAUCAGCAGUGAAUUGACGGUACCUGCAAAGGAAGCACCGGCUAACUCCGUGCCAGCAGCCGCGGUAAUACGGAGGGCGCGAGCGGUAAUCGGAAUUACUGGGCGUAACGCGCUCGUAGGCGGUA
rnacentral:rRNA from 1 species